rnacentral:rRNA from 1 species
UUCUUGGAAAGGCAGCUGAGAGGGUGAAACUCCCGUCCGCCUGGUAGAAUGAGUCUUUGUCAACGAGUCGAGUUGUUUGGGAUUGCAGCUCUAAUUUGGUGGUAAAUUCCAUCUAAAGCUAAAUAUUGGUGGGAGACCGAUAGCGUACAAGUACCGUGAGGGAAAGAUGCAAAGAACUUUGAAAAGAGAGUUAAAGAGUACCUGAAAUUGCUGAAACGGAAGCGAAGGAAACCAGUGUUUGUUGGUUCAUAUUUCCUUGGCCACUUGUGGUUUGGGCG